CUUUACUGUAACUUGAAAUUGAAAUUGGACUUUAUUUGCGCAGUAUAGGUGGGAGGCGUUGAGAAUAUUCUUGCGGGAAUAUUGGAGCCAUCAGUGAGAUACCACUCUUGUAAUGUUAGAUUUCUAACUUUGCAUCCUCAUCGGGUCAAAGAACAGUUUCAGGCGGGCAGUUUGACUGGGGCGGUCGCCUCCCAAACGGUAACGGAGGCGUACAAAGGUUUCCUCUGAACGGGUAGAAAUCGUAUCUAGAGUGUAAAGGCAUAAGGAAGCUUGACUGUGAGACCUACAAGUCGAGCAGGGACGAAAGUCGGUCUUAGUGAUCUGACGGUGCUGAGUGGAAAGGCCGUCACUCAACGGAUAAAAGUUA
rnacentral:rRNA from 1 species